UUUUCUUUUCUUUUUGUUGUAUGAACGUAGAGGCAUGGAUGAGGGGUUGUGCUGCCAAGUUUAGUGUUUCUGGGAUGCGUAGUUUUGUUGUUUUGUCCUAGGCUGAAAUUUCACUACCUAUAUAUAUAUAUUGGCCUUUAAAGGCACUAUCUGGGGACGAUGGGAGUUGUGGUGCAGCAUGUUAAUUGGCCUUCUUUCUCUUGUUUCAGGAGAAGAGAACCAGCCCGGCUGGCUGUGUCCCGAGGAAGACAAGAAGAGCAAGGCUCCCUUCCGCUGCCCCAUCCUGGUCUGCCGCCUCUCGGCCUUCUCCUCCAGAGCCCUGGACUUGCAGUUGGGUGCCGCUGUCCACAGUCCGGUCCAUUCUUCCUUGCUGGGCUUCUCUGCCGUCAGCACGUCUCUCCCGCAAGGCUACCUUUGGGUUGGCGGUGGCCAAGACGGGGCCGGUGGCCAAGUGGAGAUCUUCUCCUUGAACCGUUGUGUGCCUCGGACGGUCAAGUCCUUCCCCGUGGCCUCCCGGGUCCUGUGUGCGGAGUACAUUCCGGAGCGGAGCGAAGCGGAGAAGGACGAAGAGGAGGACGGCUCCCCAACAGCCACCGACCAAGCCUUGCCGGCACAGCCCGCCAUAUGCCUUGGUCUGCAGGAUGGCAGCAUCCUGGUCUACGGCAGCGUGGACACCGGGAUGCAGUGCCUGCUGACGGUCAAAAGCCCCGGCCUCCAACCCGUCCUCUGCCUGAAACACAACGCCGAUUACGUCUUUGCCGGCCUGCAGGACGGGACUGUCGCCGCCUUCCCCAGGAGCAACGGUAAGCCUUCGGGGCAGAGGUUUGGGGGCUCAGAACCCCCCAAAUUACCCCAUUUAC
rnacentral:lncRNA from 11 species